rnacentral:rRNA from 1 species
GUCUAAGGCCAUACCACCCUGAAUACACCCGAUCUCAUCUGAACUUGGAAGCUGAGCAGGGUUGGGCCUGGUUAGUACUUAGAUGGGAAAACAGAAUACUUCACAGU